AAUCUUCAAUUCAACGUUGAGACCAGUGAUGCGGAAUGGAUGCGAUAAAACCGGCCUCUCUCCUCUCAUCCUAGCAACCCUCCAUUCUCACUUUAGAACGAAAGGCUACUCCAGAGAGGUUUUAGUUAUUGAUACAGUAAUACCUCAGAGUUUUCGUUCUCCAUCGAUCGUUUUUGUUAAUAUUAUUUCGUCAAAGUAUAUCAGGAAGAAAUAACUCAUAACUUUGUAGUUUUCGGUCUCCAUCCAUCCGUCUUUUCUGACUUUGUUUUCAUCAAAGUUUCUUUAAGAAGUAUAUAGCUCACAUUUUGUCCUUCAUCCAUCGUAGUUUCUUGAUCUGUUUCCUUUAGUUUAAUCACUCAUAUAUCACUCGAGGAUCCUCCGUCUUUAUCUUCUGAUCCAGGUCCCCUUUCUGACGUCACAAUGUCACAGCCUCUAUUCGUCCUCGUCCUCUGCUUUGUCACAUUAACUGUCUUAUUACCACGUGUGUCAGCCUCACCUUUAUAUCAUCUCAAUGCACUGUCACUGAGUGAGCCUGAUGCAACACAGUUUGAGGUCGAAACAAGAGGCCAUCAACCAGAAAGGAGAAAUCCUUUAUUAUCAGGUAAAUCUCGUAUGUGCUUCGCUUCUGCCAGUCUUGUUUGCGUGUGUGAUUUACAAGGACGACUUAAGGGCUGUUUCAGGGGACCUUCGGCUGUGAUGGCCAUCCGAGGGAUCGGUGUAUGAUCAGGACUCUACAAUCAACACUUAUCUACUGAAUUCUCUAAUUCCAAAAGGCUUCAUGAAGGGGACAAUGGGUUUCUUUACGGAACAGGACGAUAACUCAAUGACAAUAUCGAGCUUUUAUAAUGUACAUUGUGAUUUCCCGAGGUUAACCCGACAUAUCACCACAUGUGAAAUACGGGAUAUCAUCUAGUGUACCACAUCCAGCAAAUACAUUCACACUCACAUUGAAGGAUCAACUAUAUUUUUGAAGGAUCUGAUUGGACGUAAAGAUGAAUCGAUAUAAACAUGAUAAAUGAAUCUGUUUACAAUGAAGUAGUUGUAUUCAUGAUGAUACUACUGUAAUAAGACUCAUUUAAAACAGGUUUUAUCAAGAUUUUAUGCCGAAGUACGACUUUGCUUGGUUUUUAUUAGAUUUUUUUUACUUUUUAAUUGCCCCCUCUUUUUAGGGGAGGGGCUUUAGGCCUAUUUUGGCAGUUAUUAAGUGUACCAAAAAAAAAACAUUAAUAUUUUGGGAUAAUAUACACAAUCAUUAUGGAUCCGAUUACUGAAGUCCCCCAAUACGGGUAUGAUUUUGAGUUACCCUUGUUUGUGUGUUCACCAAGCAAGAAUAUCUAUAAUUAAAUUGAACAGGCUAAUAACAUAGAAACU